rnacentral:rRNA from 1 species
CAGUCGCCGCGGUAAGACAGAGGAUGCAAGCGUUAUCCGGAAUGAUUGGGCGUAAUGCGUCUGUAGGUGGCUUUUCAAGUCCGCCGUCAAAUCCCAGGGCUCAACCUGGGAACUGCAUUUGAGACUGUAUGGCUAGAGUGUGUCAGAGGGGGGUAGAAUUCCACGUGUAGCAGUGAAAUGCGUAGAUAUGUGGAGGAAUACCGAUGGCGAAGGCAGCCCCCUGGGAUAACACUGACGCUCAUGCACGAAAGCGUGGGGAGCAGACAGGAUUAGAUACCCGAGUAGUCCCUGUCUCUUAUAC